GCAUUAAUGGGGUAGUGGUAACCUGGGUCGUUGCCAGUCUUUCAGCUGGAAUCAAUAUCGACCCGCCGGGGGUUCGAUUCCCUCUUAAUGCA